rnacentral:rRNA from 1 species
GUGGGGAAUUUUGGACAAUGGGCGAAAGCCUGAUCCAGCCAUGCCGCGUGUGUGAAGAAGGUCUUCGGAUUGUAAAGCACUUUAAGUUGGGAGGAAGGGCAUUAACCUAAUACGUUAGUGUUUUGACGUUACCGACAGAAUAAGCACCGGCUAACUUCGUGCCAGCAGCCGCGGUAAUACGAAGGGUGCAAGCGUUAAUCGGAAUUACUGGGCGUAAAGCGCGCGUAGGUGGUUUUGUAAGGUGGAGGUGGAAUCCCCGGGCUCAACCUGGGAACUGCCUCCAAAACUGCAUGACUAGAGUACUGUAGAGGGUAGUGGAAUUUCCUGUGUAGCGGUGAAAUGCGUAGAUAUAGGAAGGAACACCAGUGGCGAAGGCGACUACCUGGACUGAUACUGACACUGAGGUGCGAAAGCGUGGGGAGCAAACAGGAUUAGAAACCCGAGUAGUCC